GAGGGCCAGCGGGGCACUGGAAGGGGGCCGGGGUGCAACCCCGGGGGGGUUCGGGCAAGGUCGGCUGCCUUGGCUUCUGCAUUGUGCUGCGGUGAAAAAAUUAAAAACCUGCCGCAGCAGCAGUCACGCCAGGAAGAGACAUCUUCGGAGACCACAGCAGUGGCUCCUCUGCACUCCCAGCUGACCCCUGGAUACCGUCACCGCGCGGCGGAGAGGGGGUGUUGCCGCAAGUCAGGAAGCUCCUGGUCUCUCCAUCACUUGCGCAAUUCGGGCUAAAAUCUUCUCGCAUCGGUUAUUAUUUGGAAUCUGGGCCUAAAAGUUUUUUCGGUUGUCUUCUUCAUUCAGAGUUAUGGACCUGAAGAUUGGAAGUGACCUGGCAGGGGAGAAGAAGGACAAGCAAGAGUGAAAGAGUAGCAAACCCUGAAGUGGUUCCAAGGGUUUACCUCGUGACCACAGAGAACCAUCUCUGCCAGAGAGAAACAAGCAUGCAGAGAAGAAUUCAAUAGCCUGGGUUGUUGCUGGGAUUGGUGAGCUUUAAUCUCCUGUGAUGUCAAGAAGAGGAAAGCCUUCACAUCCCAGGUUUGGCCAUCACAUCCCCGAAUUCAGCUGCAUUGGCUGAAUGUUAAAUGGUUUAUGCCCAGCUAGUGGGAAGGUGAAUAAUAAGUAAAGGAGCUGGGAUCUACACAUACGUUGGAUGACACAGACAUUCUACUUCAGAGUCUCAAAGCAUUUUGGUAACGUUCCCCCUAUUGGUAUUCGUGCUCGUUCAGAGAAAGAAUAAAUGGAUUCCUUCUGUGUAUUCCAGAUGUUGGGGUUUUGAGCAAGCUCAAGGGUGCUGAUGCUCCUUGCUCUUGUUCUGAGCCAGGACUCCCCCUCCUUGGAAAGAAGCAUCCAAAUAACCUAUGAAUAAGUAAUUAUUCUUGCCAAGCCUGCAGAUGAACUGAAUGUUGUGAUUUCUGGCCAACUCUGCAGCCAUCUGAACUGGGUGCUUCACAGUUUGUAACCAAUUACCUUGUGGUACUAAUAACACCUUUAGUGAUUCAAUACAUAUAUCCCAAUAAUGGCAACAUUCUCUUAAAAAAGAAAAGCCUUCCCAGCUGUAAAAUAAUGUUACAUAAUUGCAUUUGUUAUGGUCUGAUUCUGUAUUCUCAAGGUGAGGGGCUGGAGUGGGGUUAGGGGAGACAGAUUCCUUCUGUCUCCAAAGCUGUCCGAGGUCUCAGACUGGCCUGCUUUCUCAGCCUUGGCACUGUCAUCUUCCGGACAGGAGCAUCUGGGCUCACUCCUGGCAUCUCGGAUCUAUUGCCCUGCAGUCCCCUCUGGGCACUGGAGCAGCGUCACGGUACAGACAAGUAGAGCCAGCACAGAGUGCAGCCACUGAGCCGACUGCAUUGCCUACCUAACCUUGAGGUUUAGAGUGAGUCUGGGAAUUUGAGCAAGGGAGAGAGAGGAAGCUUAUGUUCAUCCCCAAAUUGAAGGCUCAACAGCUGGCUUGAGAAAAAUGAGUUGCCGAAAGCCGAAAUUCUUCAGAGAGAAUUUUCCCAAAGUGACGUUUGACAUUGCCCUGUUUGUUUAUUUUCUUCCUGGCCAAAGGGCCAACUCCAUAUUGUGUCCUAAUUAAACAGGAUAACAAAAUAGAUUUUUGAAAAAGGUG